rnacentral:rRNA from 1 species
GAUGAACGCUGGCGGCGUGCCUAAUACAUGCAAGUCGAGCGAACGGACGAGAAGCUUGCGUCUCUGAUGUUAGCGGCGGACGGGUGAGUAACACGUGGAUAACCUACCUAUAAGACUGGGAUAACUUCGGGAAACCGGAGCUAAUACCGGAUAAUAUUUUGAACCGCAUGGUUCAAAAGUGAAAGACGGUCUUGCCGUCAGUAAUAGAUGGAUCCGCGCUGCAUCAGCUAGUUGGUAGGGUAGCGGAUUACCAAGGCAACGACGCAUAGCCGGCCUGAGAGGUUGACCGGCCACAUUGGGACUGAGAUACGGCGCAGACUCCUACGGGAGGCAGCAGUGGGGAAUAUUGCAGAAUGGGCGGAAGCCUGAUGCAGCAACGCCGCGUGCGGGAUGACGGCCUUCGGGUUGUAAACCGCUUUCGCCUGUGACGAAGCGUGAGUGACGGUAAUGGGUGAAGAAGCACCGGCUAACUACGUG